UACGAAGGGUGCAAGCGUUACUCGGAAUUACUGGGCGUAAAGCGUGCGUAGGUGGUUUGUUAAGUCUGAUGUGAAAGCCCUGGGCUCAACCUGGGAAUUGCAUUGGAUACUGGCAGGCUAGAGUGCGGUAGAGGGUAGUGGAAUUCCCGGUGUAGCAGUGAAAUGCGUAGAGAUCGGGAAGGAACAUCUGUGGCGAAGGCGACUACCUGGACCAGCACUGACACUGAGGCACGAAAGCGUGGGGAGCAAACAGGG
rnacentral:rRNA from 1 species